UGUGUGGUUUGCAUUCCCAGCGAUUUUGCCAGGCCUCCAAUGAGUGAUCUCGUCCCUGUCAAAGGGACUACGGAGUCCUGGUCUCCACUGUUACAAAGCACACGCGAUCCAAACGCGGAGUCCCGCUUUGAGGAUGUCUCCAAGAAGAGGAGUUGGAAAGCGCCUGGAAUGUUUCGUCCGAGAUGAGCCCGUGCGACCAAAAGUACUCGUACAUCGCUGAUGUAUCCACGGCCAAGUUGAGGAGCGGAUUGCCAAUCUGCUCCAGUCGACUCAACCGUCAAGUUUCCAGGGACUUGGCUGUGCUUGAUGAUCAACUCGGCCAGCUGAGGAACGUAGUGCCCUGUAUCAACCAGGAAACUGAGAGCUCUUGUAAGAACGCUCGUCGGAAAUGGGCG